rnacentral:misc_RNA from 1 species
AAAGUCGUAACAAGGUUUCCGUAGGUGAACCUGCGGAAGGAUCAUUAAAGAGAACUUGCCCUCUAGGGUAGAUCUCCCACCCUUUGUUUACCAAUACCUAUGUUGCUUUGGCAGGCCGCCCUUUGGGCGACCGGCUUCGGCUGGUCAGCGCCUGCCAGAGGAUCUCAAACUCUUGAUUUAGUGUUGUCUGAGUACUUGAUAAAUAGUUAAAACUUUCAACAACGGAUCUCUUGGUUCUC